CCGACUCGGGGAGGUAGUGACAAUAAAUAACAAUACAGGGCUUACAGUCUUGUUAUUGGAAUGAGAACAAUUUAAAUCCCUUAACGAGGAUCAAUUAGAGGGCAAGUCUGGUGCCAGCAGCCGCGGUAAUUCCAGCUCUAAUAGCGUAUAUUAAAGUUGUUGCAGUUAAAAAGCUCGUAGUCGGAUGUCGGGCUCGGGCAAGCUGUCGGCCUCUGGUCGGACGGCGGGCUCGGGUCUUUUUGCCUGGGGCUCCGUCACUCUUAACUGAGGGGCGGUAGGUCGCAGGCCGUUUACUUUGAAAAAUUGAGUGUUCAAAGCAGGCCUACGCUUGAAUACAUUAGCAUGGAAUAAUGGAAUAGGACUUUGGUGCUAUUUUGUUGGUUUAUGGGACUGAAGUAAUGAUUAAUA
rnacentral:rRNA from 1 species